CUGCCGCAUCCCCGCUGAGCUCCCUCCGGGCCUGGCACACAGUCGUCGUGCCCGGAGGAUCCUGCUCAGUUUCGUCCGCUCCCGCGCCCCGCCUGCCCUUGUAGAGCACGCCCUCAGCCCCUGGCCUGAGCCCCUCGAGCCAGUCCUGGGUUCUGACUGAGCGCAGGGUCGGCUCCGGGUGUCCGGGACAUGUGUGACACGCCGUGACCGCCUCGCAGCCCGUACUGACGCCCCGUACCCCUCCGUGGGCCAGCCGUGCCCCACUGGAGCCCCCGGGACAGGCCAGGACAUCACCAGUGACUGCUGCCUCCCACCAGAGCUGCCAGACCAGAGACCUCACUCCAUUCUCAGAGUGGAGGCUGGACCUGCUGGAUGCAGUGACUCCCUCAUGUUUCAGCCCAGGUCCUUGCUGCCAACGGGCUGGGCAGUCAGGAACCCAGAGUCAGCCUGGGGCAAGGGGAGGGGCCCCAGCCCACUCUCCAACCUGGGACCAGGCUGAAGGUCUAGUUGUUGGGGACAGCAGGGCCCCAAGAGGACAGGGUUAUCCUGCCACCGGCACACCAUCUGUCCUCACACAGCCACACUUCAGCCAAAGAUCUUGGCUGGGGAGAUAGUGUGACUUGGCCCAGGGUGGAUUGAACAUGUGCUGGCUUGUGCUCUCAA